rnacentral:lncRNA from 7 species
AUGAUUCCAUCCUGGUUCCUCUGCACAGAGAACUUCUGCUUCAAUGAGAGGGAACCCACAGGAGCUGCAUGCUCUUGAUGCUGACUAGCAGUACUGGCUGCAUGUGGAAUAGGGCCACCUUCGUUCUGACUCUGGCAACUGGGAGCUCAUAAGCCUUCAACAUCAUGGGAGGGGAUCUCCUUCAUGGGAGAGGAUCUUAGCUCAGACAAGAAUAAGAAGAGAGAUGGACUGUGAUUAAAUGCCAGGGAACAGACCUCCGUCAGAUGAGCUGGAUUCUUUCAGGAUAUCGUUUCUUGGGUUUAAUAGUAAUGUGCCCUACAGCAGUGACUACACUCCUCAUCGUCUGAGCUUGGACUGGUUUUCUCUAGAAUAACAUUCCUGGAAGAUCCUUCCAUGAGAACUGAAUUUUGAAGGCAGUUAUAAAGCUUUGGUCAAUUCCUGUUUCUUAAUACUGACAAAUGCAAAAGCAGACUCAGAAGAUCAUCGUCACAUUCCUUUCCACAGCAAUAAAAGGCUCAUUAAGCUCAGUGUAUAACCACGUCUGCCUUGAAGUCAAUCACAGUUCUACCACCAACCGCAAUGGGAUCCAGGCCUAGAUCCAGAGCCUGCUCUUUUGGGCCACUUCUUCUCUUGUGGGGGGCACUGCGAAGACUGACUCCGUGGGGAGCUGGUUUGUAUGCAUGCCUUGGGCGAGAUUCUCAGCUGGCAUCAAUGUCACCUGACCCUGUACUGCUCACCUGAGCAGGAAGUCUGAAUCUGUACUCACCCCAUAACUGACUCAUUGCUGUUACAUUAGUUACUGGAUUAUCGUGGUAAAGGAAAUGCUGCACCUUGCUCUUGACACUACCAGACAGUGACAAAUGUGCUCAUCUCUGUUUAUUCCCUCUGAAACAUCUUAGCGACGCAACAAGGGGAGCAGCAAUGCCCUUCUAAGUAGCUCAUUUCAAUCCAUGCAAUCUCUUAGAAUCAAUAAUCUGUAUGGGACAUUCUUCUAGGUCCUGAGACAACUCUGAUCUGCUUGGCUUCAGAUUUGUCUUUGUAGAGCCCAUAUUGCUACAGUAUGCUGAUGGUGAUGGAAGAGCAGCUCCUGGGGGAGCAGAUGAUGUACCCAGCACAUCCCAUAUAUUCUCAUGUACUACCUCUUUCUCAAAUGGUUCUGUGGAACUCUGUGAGUUUUCCUUAGAGAACAUUUCAGCCGGUGAUACAAUUUAAUACAAAACCAAAUAUAUUGUGUAGCUUUUUAGGCUUCUGGUUUUAUCUUGCUGGAGAAUUUCAUAGCAUUUUCUCUGUACAGGACAAGGCCCUGUUAGAAAGCUUGUCUUACUGCUGUGCUUUUACUGCAUAACAGCUCUCCUGCUCACGUCAGGGAUUAAUGUGGAGGAAAUUAUUCCUGUUUCAGGAAGAGCUUUGGGCACAAAAAGGCCAUGAUUAAGACCUGUGCCAUCACAGACCACUUUGUCAACCCACAUUUGCUUUAUGAAAGUGAUAUCGGGAUGUUAUUCCUCUUCAGUAAGUUGGCAGCCUUGCCCUCUUUUUGAGGCUUUGUACGGUAUUGACUGUAUAAUUGUUUGUACAAUUUCCAAAAAAUGAAGUUAAUGUUUCUUUGUGCUGUUCAUCAAAAAAAUAUUUUCCUUGUUUCUUAGUACAACUUAGUUGGAAAGGAUACACUUGACAACCUGCUUUUUCAAGAUCUGAUUCAAUCCUUGACCAGAACAUGUUAUUUAAUGCAAUCUUACUUGAUGCAAUAAAUGAUGGCUUAGUGCAAACUUUGUUUAUUGGAUUGGAAAAAGACACCAUUUUUCCAGUAGGAUGUGGGAUAAGUAUCAACAGUUACACGCAGACUCCAGAGACCUCUCAGUGCAAGCCCACGGAGCUGGUAGGAGUCUAAACAUAAAUUUCUAUUGAAUUGAUAGGUCACAGAGCAGAAUAAAUUUUUACCAGCUCUACCAAAUUAUCCACCCUGCUUUCAGUGAUCCUGAAUGCCAUGACACUCGACAGAAACACAAACAUUUGGAGACACAGGAGUAAAUGUUUCUAUUGUCAGCUGGUAAGAUUUCAUUUAUGUACAGUAGGAUUCACGCAGCUGUACUUGCCAUUGAAGCAGAGCACAGUCAGUGACUUAGAAAAGCCUGCACUGGGCUCCAGCUCCACAUGGCUGAGAAGCUCACAGCAUACUCUGAUAAGUAGUCAUUUCUCCUCAUGAUUACAAAAACAAAAGAGUCCUCCUUUGAUAGAAGGGGAUGAAAUGGGUCAUUUUAAUUCCAUUCUGUGGAGGUAAAAAGUGCUGUUAAAUAUUACCAAAACUCUGAAGUUUUGGAGCAUGGGAACAGACUCAAUUAAAAUUUGGUUAAUAUCUUGCUUCUCUUUGCUUUUCACUUCAUGUAUCCUCAUUAUCUGAUCACAGGGCUAGGAAUCAG